rnacentral:miRNA from 1 species
UGGGGCACAUCUCUAGAAGC